rnacentral:rRNA from 1 species
CCUACGGGUGGCAGCAGUAGGGAAUAUUGCUCAAUGGGGGAAACCCUGAAGCAGCAACGCCGCGUGAAGGAUGAAGGCUUUCGGAUUGUAAACCCCUUUCGUCAGAGAAGAUUAUGACGGUAUCUAACGAAUAAGCACCGGCUAACUCCGUGCCAGCAGCCGCGGUAAUACGGAGGGGGCAAGCGUUACUCGGAAUGACUGGGCGUAAAGGGUGCGUAGGUGGGAUUUUAAGUCAGGGGUUAAAUCCUGAAGCUUAACCAGAGUAACGCAUUUGACACUGGGACUCUGGAGUGUAGGAGAGGUAAGUGGAAUUCUUAGUGUAGCGGUGAAAUGCGUAGAGAUUAGGAGGAAUACCAGUUGCGAAGGCGACUUGCUGGAACAUUACUGACGUUGAGGCACGAAAGCGUGGGGAGCAAACAGGAUUAGAUACCCGAGUAGUC